rnacentral:rRNA from 1 species
UCUCCUGGAAUGGAGCAUCAUAGAGGGUGAGAAUCCCGUCUUGACAUGGACUGCCAGGGCUUUUGUGAUGCGCUCUCAAAGAGUCGAGUUGUUUGGGAAUGCAGCUCAAAAUGGGUGGUAAAUUCCAUCUAAAGCUAAAUAUUGGCGAGAGACCGAUAGCGAACAAGUACCGUGAGGGAAAGAUGAAAAGAACUUUGGAAAGAGAGUUAAACAGUACGUGAAAUUGCUGAAAGGGAAACGCUUGAAGUCAGUCGCGUCGUCCAGGGAUCAACCUUGCUUUUGCUUGGUGCACUUUCUGGUUUGACGGGUCAGCAUCAAUUUUGACCAUUGGAAAAAGAUCAAGGGAAUGUGGCAUCUUUGGAUGUGUUUAUAGCCCUUGGUCACAUACAAUGGUUCGGGAUUGAGGAACUCAGCAUGCCGCAAGGCCGGGUGUUUACNCCACGUACGUGCUUAGGAUGUUGACAUAUAUAAUGGCUUUAAUCGACCCGUCUUGAAACACGGACCAAGGAGUCUAACAUGCCUGCGAGUGUUUGGGUGGAAAACCCGAGCGCGUAAUGAAAGUGAAAAGUUGAGAUCCCUGUCGUGGGGAGCAUCGACGCCCGGAUCAGACCUUUUGUGACGGUUCCGCGGUAGAGCAUGUAUGUUGGGACCCGAAAGAUGGUGAACUAUGCCUGAAUAGGGUGAAUCCAGAGGAAACUCUGGUGGAGGCUCGUAGCGAUUCUGACGUGCAAAUCGAUCGUCAAAUUUGG